UUGAGGUGAAAAACUAAGCUAGGGCCUGGU
rnacentral:piRNA from 1 species